rnacentral:tRNA from 2 species
GCAGGGAUGCCGGAGUGGUCAAACGGGCAUGGCUCAAGACCAUGUGGCUUAGUGCCUACGCGAGUUCAAAUCUCGUUCCCUGCA